rnacentral:rRNA from 1 species
GACGAACGCUUUCUUCUUUCUUAACACAUGCAAGUCGAACGGAAAGGCCCUGCUUUUGUGGGGUGCUCGAGUGGCGAACGGGUGAGUAACACGUGAGUAACCUGCCCUUGACUUUGGGAUAACUUCAGGAAACUGGGGCCAAUACCGGAUAGGAGCUCCUGCUGCAUGGUGGGGGUUGGAAAGUUUCGGCGGUUGGGGAUGGACUCGCGGCUUAUCAGCUUGUUGGUGGGGUAGUGGCUUACCAAGGCUUUGACGGGUAGCCGGCCUGAGAGGGUGACCGGCCACAUUGGGACUGAGAUACGGCCCAGACUCCUACGGGAGGCAGCAGUGGGGAAUAUUGCACAAUGGGCGGAAGCCUGAUGCAGCAACGCCGCGUGCGGGAUGACGGCCUUCGGGUUGUAAACCGCUUUCGCCUGUGACGAAGCGUGAGUGACGGUAAUGGGUAAAGAAGCACCGGCUAACUACGUG